UUUUCGCCUGAAUAAAAGAGGAUGAGAACCUCCGAAGGAGGGUUGCGCCGAGCGUAGCGAGACAACGUUGCGAAUGCAACGGCCCGAAGGGGGCUUACGCAGUAAGCCUAAUCCUCUCUCGCCGACCA
rnacentral:sRNA from 1 species